rnacentral:rRNA from 1 species
CACUCCUGCGGGAGGCAGCAGUGGGGAAUUUUGGACAAUGGGGGCAACCCUGAUCCAGCAAUGCCGCGUGAGUGAAGAAGGCCUUCGGGUUGUAAAGCUCUUUUGUCAGGGAAGAAACGGUGGUGGCGAAUAACUACUACUAAUGACGGUACCUGAAGAAUAAGCACCGGCUAACUACGUGCCAGCAGCCGCGGUAAUACGUAGGGUGCAAGCGUUAAUCGGAAUUACUGGGCGUAAAGCGUGCGCAGGCGGUUGUGUAAGUCAGAUGUGAAAUCCCCGGGCUCAACCUGGGAAUUGCAUUUGAGACUGCACGGCUAGAGUGUGUCAGAGGGGGGUAGAAUUCCACGUGUAGCAGUGAAAUGCGUAGAUAUGUGGAGGAAUACCGAUGGCGAAGGCAGCCCCCUGGGAUAACACUGACGCUCAUGCACGAAAGCGUGGGGAGCAAACAGGAUUAGAUACCCCAGUAGUCCCAUGA